AUAUGCAUACAGAAAUAAUAUAUUAUAAUAUUACGCCGCGUGUUUCGAGUGCAUCCGUCGAAAAUCGAAUAGGUAAUAUAGUGACUUGGUGAGGGUCCUAACUGAUUUUGCUUGAUAUUUGGAUUUAUUGGCCCUUAAAUUUGCCGAAAAAUAACCCGAAAACGGAAAUAAAGCAAAAUAAGAAUAAUUUAUUUGUAUAAUAAAUGUUACGUUAGAUUCGAAUUAUGUACUCGGACCAAUGUCCAUUUCCCUGGCAUCUUGUUAAGUU